AACGAACGCUGGCGGCAUGCCCAACACAUGCAAGUCGAACGAGACCUUCGGGUCUAGUGGCGCACGGGUGCGUAACGCGUGGGAAUCUGCCCUUUGGUUCGGAAUAACAGUUGGAAACGACUGCUGAUACCGGAUGAUGACGAAAGUCCAAAGAUUUAUCGCCAGGGGAUGAGCCCGCGUAGGAUUAGCUAGUUGGUGUGGUAAAGGCGCACCAAGGCGACGAUCCUUAGCUGGUCUGAGAGGAUGAUCAGGCACACUGGGACUGAGAAACGGCCCAGACUCCUACGGGAGGCAGCAGUGGGGAAUAUUGGACAAUGGGCGAAAGCCUGAUCCAGCAAUGCCGCGUGAGUGAUGAAGGCCUUAGGGUUGUAAAGCUCUUUUACCCGGGAUGAUAAUGACAGUACCGGGAGAAUAAGCUCCGGCUAACUCCGUGCCAGCCGCCGCGGUAA
rnacentral:rRNA from 1 species